rnacentral:misc_RNA from 1 species
UUACGUCAUCCCCACCUUCCUCCGGUUUGUCACCGGCAGUUUCUCCAAAGUGCCCGGCAUAACCCGAUGGCAACUGGAGACGAGGGUUGCGCUCGUUGCGGGACUUAACCUGACACCUCACGGCACGAGCUGACGACAACCAUGCAGCACCUUGUAAAUUGUCUUGCGAAAGGUCCGUUUCCAAACCGGUCAAUCUACAUUUAAGCCUUGGUAAGGUUCCUCGCGUAUCAUCGAAUUAAACCACAUGCUCCACCGCUUGUGCGGGUCCCCGUCAAUUCCUUUGAGUUUUAAUCUUGCGACCGUACUCCCCAGGCGGGAUGCUUAAAGCGUUAGCUGCGCCACUGACGAGCAAGCUCGCCAACGGCUAGCAUCCAUCGUUUACGGCGUGGACUACCAGGGU